UCAUGAGCUGCCAAGGCUAUGGGAGCCUCUUGAGUUCACAAACUCCGAUCUUAUUUAGAAAAGGCCAUAGUCAGAGUGGAAGUUCUCUCCUCCUUUCAGAGAAAGACGGUUCCUGAAGGCUAAUCUCAAGUUUCAUGCAUACAUCUGCAAGUGCAGAAUGACACUCCCUCUCCACAAGAACAGAGGGGAACCCAUGACUCAAGCAUGUGCUGUUCAUGAUUUAGGAACUGCUCCAAGAAUGCGUCCAUGAGUGCAUCACCAUCUUCGAUGUCUAUAACAUGCUGCAGACUGAAGAGGCUCCCAGGCUAGCUCAAAACCAAACAAACGCAAACCAAGAAAAUAGUGGAAAUUCCAAGCAAUUCGUUUACAACUUUGGUAAAAACAGUGCCAGCUAGUUGCUCAGAAUCUGAAUUGGAGGCAAGAAGACCAAGGAUUGCCAGGACAAACAGGAGCAUAGGAGCAUUGUCAGAAGUCCCAUCACUAAGGGGAUGCUACAAGGCAGGAUAAGACACAUAUUUUUCAGGUGAGCUGUGGUUCAGUGUUUUGAUAGUAAGGAAAAAACAGAAAAUGUACAUUCUGUUCUUGUGUUCACAACUAGCAGAUUGUUCCAUGUAUUUAGUCUUUUUUUGAUAAGAGCAAAUAACCCUUAAGCAUUUGUGAUGUGCUAGACACUUUGGUAGGAACUGGAGACAAGAUAUAGAAUUAAAUUUGCUAUCUGGCAGCAUAAAAUCUCCAGAACUAUGUAAGAUGCCAUUGUUACUUAAGCAACUAAUUGGUAAACUAGAAUUGUUAUAAAUACUACAAAAACACAGAGGAUGCUGUAUGUCUUUGGGAGGCAGAAUAGACGUCUCCAUUUCUUCAACGCUCAGAGGUGGUUUUAUAUAUAGUACAUGCUCAGUAAACCUGUGGGGACAGACGCACUAUUUGAUUUGUACUCAUCAGCCUGCUUCUAACAUGAUGUUAAUUUGCCCUCAUAUGAAUUACUGAAGUCAAAAUUGUAGUAUAGUUGUGCCAGUUGAAUUCAGUAAUUUCCCAUUGUGUUUUGGUUUUACAGAUUGUCAAUUAUGUUAAGGUUGCAAAAAGCAUCAUCUUUAAGUCCUACAAAAAUUUUAUUACCAUCUUAUGUGAAUUCAACUCUAUUGCAACAUAUUUGUACUGUAAGGCAAACCUCCCAAAUACUAGUAUUUAUGACUUUAUUUCUUAAGUAAAUCAAUAUGAAUUUUGCUUAUCAACUUUACAAAUUGGGAUGCUCAGAAACCAAAACUGAGCCCAAUUAUUCCUCCAGAAUAUUAUUGUUGUAUUCCUUUUUGCCCUUAUAUCUGACUUCCUGUUAAAUAAGCUUUCUUGUGGUGGGUGAAGGACUUAAAGUUUAGAAAUCUUGGAAGCCAUGCAAUUGGGGAAUAAGCAAAUUCAUUUCAACUACAUUAACUUUAAAUGUUACUCUGAUUUGUUCAGCACCUAAAUAUAUCCACAGUAUUAAAAAACUCAUCUAGAGACUCAUAAGUAAGAGACUGUCAAAAAUAUAUCCAUCGCUGUCCAGCACCAUCCAGUCCGUUCAGAAAACAAUAACAAUUGAAAUAUGUCUGUACUAGAAGACACCUUCCUUUUAUUGCCUUAAAAGACAUUUCUCUGUGGUUUUCUUUUACUACAAGAGUGCAAUGAGCUAACUCAGGAAUUUUCUAUUUCUUUUCUGAACCCAAAUACCCAGAUGUCUUAGAGAUACCACAUAAAUAAACCCUUACUCCGAGAUUUUGACUUUCUUUUGCUACUCAAACUUUAUUAAAAGAAAAAUCUUGAAGACCACAAGUUCCCUUACAUCAUAUCCAUUGUGUGGUUUAUCUCUAGAUGUUCAAUUGGCAACCAGGCUCUUCGCCUCUCCACAAAAACCCUGCCCAAGGAAAAGCUAUCCUAUCUGUUCCUAUUUAUGGUAAGAAGUAUGUCUUAAGGACUUUAAAAUUUAUAUACAUUUGACAAUUUUGAGAACCAACAAUAUAAAGAUAUUAUAAAAAGUACAUGUGGAGUUCAUCAAAAACAGAUUUAGUUUUUCAACAAAUACAGCAAUUAGAAGCAUAAUCAUUAUUAGUGAAAUGAGAAAUAAGUGGUUGAAAUUUGGCAUGAAAGAUAUGUGUAUCCACGAACAGAUAAAGCAUUCAGAUAAAUAUGCAUAUCCACCAACUUUAAUAUGCUUUGAACGCCAUUGCUUAGAUAAUUGAAGCAAAACCCCAAUUUAAUACUUUAUUGGUAUGUUAAUCUCACAAACUGAAUGGUCUCCUGGUACUACAUAUUGUACACUAUCAGUGCCAAGAGGGGCACUCAGCUGGCAUUCAACAGGGAAGGUUGGAACUGUGUUAACUCUUUCUGCAUUUCCUAGGACUUGCCUUUAAGAUGUAAGGCACUUGAAGGUCAAACUUCAGGUCCCAAUUCAGAGUGGGAGUGAGCAGAAAAAGUCAAGUCACAAGACCAGGUAUGAAGGAAUUACUUGUCUAGAAGGAUUAUUUUGAAGGACACACUGGUUUGAGUUUUAUUGAAUUAACCCAAAAGGAGAUUUAAGAUUUUUGAUUUGACUUAUUUUUUAAAUUCUUUGUCAUUUUUGCACUUUUGUAUUACUAAGGGAGAUCUUUAUCCCUCCACAUUCCAGGACCCCAAUAAUUUGCUUCAUUCCAAUGUAAUUUGAAGAAAUAUUUUGAAAAUACUGAAAAACUUUGAUAUGAAAAAUAUAUGAUAUGAUUCGAGGUGAAUUUUCAAGUUAUAAACCUAUAUUUUAUAAAAUAAUCUUUAAGUUUGCAACAGUUGUAGAAUUAAAGAAUUAUUAUUAAUUACUAUAUAAAAAGUUCUCAUAUAUUAUACACUCAAUUUCCCCUAUCAUUGUCAGAUUGCGCUAGUACUGGAUGGUACAUUUGUCACAGUCAGUGAACUUGUGUUGAUACAUUAGCAUUAAGUAAAGUCUUCCCUUUAUCAAGUUUCCCCCACUUUUCUCCAAAUACUCUUGUUCUAUCCCAGGACACUGUCCAGGGUGCCACUUUUAUUUGUUCAUUUUGUCUCCUUAGGUUCCUUUGGAUUGUGACAGCUUCUACACUUUUCUUUUUUGAGGAAUAUUAGUCAAGUGUUUCAUAGAAUUUUCAUCAGUUGAAUGUAUCUAUAUUUUUUCUCAUGAUUAGAUUGUAGUCAUAUAGGAAAACAUUGUAGGAAAAACAUUUUGUAGGAAAAAUAAAGAGGUAAAGUGGUGCUCUCCUCUGGUCGAAUGAAAGAGGCUCAUCACAAUGACCACCACAAAGACUUUGCUCACCAGCUAAGGCAAUGUUGGCCACACCCACACUUUCCAUGCCAUGCUUAUAGAAUGAAGACACUGUGAUCUAUCUACAUCUAAGGAUGCGGGUUACACUUUCCAACCUGGUGGCAAAGUAUCUACGUAAAUGGUUUGGAUUUUUUUUUUUUUUUUGCAUGGGGAUAAGUCCAUUUUCUUCCAUUCUUUGACUUCUUUUAUUGAUAGCAGUAUGAGUCAGGGAUUUUCAUUUUAUGCAAUUCAAUGCGACUGUGUUUAUUUUGCUAUUGCUAUGCGAAUUCUUCCAUCUUCAGCCAUUGGACUUGCUUUCACUUAGCUCCUGUGCUCCUUUUUUUUUUUUUUUUUAAUUUGAAGGCAGAGGCAGAGAGAGAGAGAGAGAGAGAGAGAGAGAGAAGUCUUCCAUCUGCUGUUUCACUCCCCAGAUGGCCACAACGGCCAGAGCUAAGUCUAUCUGAAGCCAGGAGCUGGGAGCUUUUUCUGGGUCUCCCACACGGGUGCAGGAGCCCAAGGACCUGGGCCAUCUUCUACUGCUUUCCCAGGCCAUAGCAGAGAGCUGCAUCAGAAGUGGAGCAGCCGGGACUUGAACAAGCACCCCUAUGGGAUGCUGGCACUGCAGGUGGCAGCUUUACCUGCUAAGCCAAAGCACUGGGCCCUCCUGUGCUCCUUUAACAUCACCCCACUAAUGUGGGUUUGUUUUUUGAAAACGUCAUCACUUUCUAGUGCUAUGGACUCCACUUUUUUCCCUCUGAAAAGCAACAAAGAGAGAAAUAGCACCCAUUUGCCAUUUCACUCCCCGAAAUAUCCAAAAAAGGGCAGGUGUAUGCCAACGUAAAGCUGGAAGCUGAAAACUCAGUCUAGGUUUUCCAUGCAUGUGUUGAGACUCAAUUACCUGAGCCAUCAGCACUGCCUCUUAGGAUCUUCAUUGGCAGGAAGUGGGAAUAGGGAACCAGUGCUUGGGAAUCAAACCCAGGCUCUCUCUGAUUUGGGCUGCAGUUGUCAUAACCGAUGCUCUAUCCACAGGACCAAAUGCCCACCCAAAAUGCUCAUCAUGGAUUUGCUUUAGUCCUUACUCCAUUUUCCAGUGGAUCCUGUUUUCUUGUUAUUGUUACUGGUGGAGAAUGCAAUUUAAAACCACGAUUUGGGUUCUAACUGCUAGAGUCUCAGAAAUAUUGCCCCGUGUAUUACCAUAGAAAAAUGGUUAAGGCAAUUUAACCACAGCAGCUAUUCCUAAAAAUGAAUUAAUCAUUAUUAAUGACUGCCCACUGUCUCUUAUCCUAAUACUUUUUUUAAGCCACAACAUGUUCUAAAGUUGUUUACCCAUCUUCACUUUCAUGAAAAUACUAGGAGGAGUUGGGGCAGCAGUAAAUGGGAAGCACCAUGGUGUGGAAGCAGAAUAUUGAAAUCAGGGUCAUAUUAGCAGCAAGGCAAGAGUUUCCUCAAAAUGUCCUUUUCUUUGCAAGAUGAGUGUCCUAGUGUCUCACAUUGAUAGCAUUCCAAAAUGGGUAAGUAACACACGUUACGAGAAUAUAAAAUUGUUCCCAUGUAUUUCUCCUAAGAAUGCACAGAUACUCAUAUACGAACAGAGGAAGUAAUGUACUUGGAAAACGCUGGUGCACCUUGUGGGGGUAAUUCAUAGUAUGUGUGUGUCCUUGGUGUGCCCACUCACCCUAUACACACACGUGCACCGUUUGAAGAGCCACAAGUCCAUGAUCUUUGUUCCCCUCCUGUUCAUUGCAUCCCUGAUUUUUAUGCAUGUGCUCAUUUACGUCGCUUACAGGGAGAAAAAGCUGUUCAUAAAACAGAUUAUCUUUUAGAGCACUCCAGGGUUAGUUCAUUCUCCCCUCUUCUUUUUAUGAAGAAAAUGAUAGGAAACAUAAACCGGCACCCUUAAAGAAGAAAACACAUGAAAUGAAACAAGUAAGCUUUCAGAAAUAACGCAAAACAUGCCAGGCAGAGCUGCAGCCUAGCGGGAGGGCCAGGGUAAAAUAUGCACUGCGGACAUGCGCCCAGUGUAUCUUCAGCACUUACGAAGAUAAAAGUGGUCUUGAAAGUGAAUGAAGUUGACUCUCAAAAAGUGGGUUUUAGAUGUUGAAUAUUUAAUUCGCUGAUAAAAGGGACCUGAUUUCCUGCACACGACUGCCAUAAAUACAAAAAAAAGCACAUCUUAAAAGAGAAGCAAUGAGUAGAAACUGACCUUUCUGUGAGCAAGCGGAUGAGAGAAGGUAUUUGGCUAAUCCCAGCUGUCUCUGAUUGGCCAGACAGCACCGUGUUGAAAAUGUCUCCAUCUGGGCUAAUCUGCUCUCAGUUGGAUGAGCUGAGGCCUUCAGAGUUAACCUGACAUUUAACAAUAAUUACCCUUUCGAAUGACCCCAGCCCAAUCGCCUGCUCUCUUAGAAAUCUCUUUUUUUGUGCGUGCUCCCAAACCUCUUGACUUCUGUGUUAGAGAUAGGGGGAAAAAGAUGAGAUGCUAUCACUUGUGUGUGUAAACACACAGGAGCAUGUGGUCGUGUGUGUGUGUGUGUGUGUGUGUGUAAAUACUUAUGUAAUAUAGAUGAAAACUGGGCCUCUCCAGCUGGUCAUGGGGCCUGGUUUCAAGACUCCAUUUUACUCUCCUGAAAUUCGUAGUUUAUCAACCUCCUGUUGUGUUAGAGAAACAGACAGAGGAAUAAUAUCUGCAAUUAAUGUGGGGGGGAAUGUGCUUCCUGGCUAUUUUAUGAAAGUCAAAGUUCCCAUGUGGCCUUGCUCAAGCACUUGAGUGUCCCUUAUCAGACACCAGGAGAAAUGGUGCAUGAAAAGAGGUUCAGACGGAAAACCCAAGUUCAGGGUCAGGGAGGCUAACUGUAGAUGAAAUGUGGCCAUUUCUUUUGACCUGAGGCUGGCUUCCUCUUUUCUUAGAAAGGUCAUCGUGAUAAAACAAAGCACAUCUUGGAAAUAAAAUCCAUUCUGGGGUUUUAUUUACUUAAAAAACUCAUAAAAAAGCUUUUCCCAGUUUCGACUGGCAUUUUCCAGAGCUGCCCUAUCAGGUGCCAUCAGAAGACGUGCAGUUUCCAACACUGAUAUUUAGUAGGGUCCUGCACACAUCGAAGGUGAGGGCGGCUAAUCACCCUCAAGUUCAAGUGCUUCAACUUGGGCCAAUGCAGCCUUAAUUAGCUUAGCCAAGCCUUCUGACACUCCCAGAAGCCCAUCCCUUCUGUUUCUUUGAACUGGUGAUAUUUGCUAUUUCUUUGUCCACUUUCAAAUAUCAGGAAAAUAAUAGUUUGGAAUAUUUCUUCCCGCCUCUUCUAUAAUUAAAACAGGAAAAGCCGAUGUGAAAGUACAUAGAGGCAUAAUAUACCUGUGUAAAGCAAUGAUCUUAGAGAUAAAUGUGGAAACGUCUUUACCUAUUUUCUCACAUCUUCCUAAUUUCUGGCUUUAAAACUGAAAACUAAUUUUUUGCCAAGUUUUUAACAUUUUAUCACUUCUUAUCACCUGUUUUCAGUAAUCCACAGGACUCUGGAUUACAAGGAAUGUGUCUAUGUAUCUAUUAUAUAUCUGUCUAAUCUCCUUAGAAUUAAUAUCAGAUUUCAAAUCAAUUUCUGCUUCUCCUUAUGCCUUACAUCAAUCUGCUGUUUCCUUCUGAUCCAUGGUUCUUAUUAGUUAUUGACAAAAGGUCAUGAUGAGUGAUAAAUUAUGAAACAAAUUGAAAGAUUAUUUUUGUUUUUUUUUUUUAAAUGGAAACCAGCAAGGUUAAGCCAUAUCGUUCUAUAGUUUGUGCAUGCUCUUAAUUACCAUAGAGGUAGGAGUACAUGGUGCUGUGUUUGUUUUUAAAGAUAUUCAAACUUUUACAUCAACACUUAAUAUCAUGUGUGCCAACUUAUUCUUUGGUGUCUAUAAGUGACUUAUUUAACAUUAAGUGAGUAAAAAUACCUAGUAUGUGCAGGACAGUGUCGUAUUUGCCAAGGUUACGAAGGUAAAGAAGAAAGAUACCAGGAAGCAUACAUUUUAAUGGGAUGAGAGAUAGCUGACAAAGAUGAUAAAUGAGGGAAUACUUAUCAUCUAGUGAAUGAAUAUUCAGAAUAUUUAUAUACUGAUACACCAUACAUUUAUUUAAAUUAUUGGUUAAUUGGGGUUGGCACUGUGGCAUAGCAGGUAAAACAGCUGUCUGCAGUGCUAGCAUCCCAUAUGCUGCUCUUCUUCCAAGCCAGCUCUCUGCUAUGGCCUAGGAAAGCAGUGGAAGAUGGCCCACGCACUUGGGCCCCUGCACCUGCAUAGGAGAUCCAGAAGACACUCCUGGCUCCUGGCUUCAGAUUGGCCUAGCUCCAGCUGUUGUUGCCAAUUAGGGAGUGAACCACCGGAUGGAAGACCUUUCUUUCCAUCUCUCCCUCUCUCUGUCUAUAACUCUGCCUCUAAAAUAAAUAAAUGAAAUAUUUAAGAAAAAAAAAACUGGGAAAAAACAUUUCAGAGAUGGAUAACCUUUAAAAAAAGUUUUCCCACAAGGAUACAGAGAGGGUGCAUUGCAUCAGGUAUUGUACUGAAGCAACAGGAACCUGAUCUGCCAUGGAAUUCAGGUAGAAAAUAAAACACGACAAGUGUAACCAACUAACCAACAGAGUGGCACAUGGUUGGACAAUUUUCCGUUUGACUUUCAUGAAAGAAUUUGAAUGCAGUGGUGGCAGCCUCUUAGUAAACGGUUAAUUUGAGGAGAAAAUAAUGAUGAUACCUCUAAAAGCAGAGUGAAGGACUAAGGAGGCUUGAAUCUCUUUGUUUCUUGAAAUAGCUGUCAUGUGGGUAAUAUUUGCAAAUAUAGGGGAGAGAAUAACUAUUUUUAUUUGAGAUUCUUUGAACAGUAAUUUUAAAAUUUUGUGGCCCUUAAAUAUUCAAGAUGGGUAAAAGAUUGCUCUUUUGCCAUAAAAGCACAUGUGUUACCAUUAAUGUCAUCAGUGUAACAAAUUUUAAGUAAAAAUGGACAAUUAACUCCAGCUAAAUUUAUCUUAUUAAUAAUUACUGGGGUACCUUGUCUUUUUUUUUAAGAUUUUAUUUAUUUGAGAGGCAGUGAGAGGGAAAGACAGAGAAAGGUCUUCCUUCCGUUGGUCCCCAAAUGGCCGCCAUGGCUGGAGCUGUGCCGAUCCGAAGCCAGGAGCCAGGUGUUUUCUUCCCAUCUCCCACGUGGGUGCAGGGGCCCAAGCACUUGGGCCUCUUCUGCUUUUCCAGGCCACAGCAGAGAGCUGGAUUGGAAGAUGAGCAGCAGGGACUAGAACUGGCACCCAUAUGGGAUGCUGGCGCCUACUACACCAUGGCACCGGCCCCACCUUGUCUUAAUGAAUCCUAUCAGCCACUGCUGUUUUCCCAGAGGAAUCUGUGGCCACUGGAACACUUUUAUUCUCACUUAAGGUCAGAUCAUCUCAAUUUUCUGUAUUGUAAUGGAAUCUACAAUACCAAUCCCAUUUCUACAUUUUUUUUUUUUUAGAUUUUAUUUAUUUUAUUUGAGAGGUAAAGUUACAGACAGUGAGAGGGAAAGACUGAAAGAAAGGUCUUUCUUCCGUUGGUUCACUCUCCAAUGGCUGCAAUAGCCAGAACUGCACCAAUCCAAAGCCAGGAGCCAGGUGCUUCUUCCCAGUCUCCCACGCAGGUGCAGAGGCCCAAGGACUUGGGCCAUCCUCUACUGCUCUCCCAGGCUAUAGCAGAGAGCUGGAUUGGAAAUGGAGCAACCGGGACUCGAAGCAGCACCCAUAUGGGAUGCUGGCCCCGCAAGGGGAGGAUUAACCCACUGUGCCAUGGCACUGGCCCCUCCCAUUUCUACAGUUUAAUUGAGAGGGUGCAUUCAGGGUGCAAUGCCUUACAUAAGUUAUUUCAUAUAAUCCACACGGAAAGUUGUAUUACUUCUAUUUUUAGGUGACUGAUUCAAGUUCACAAACUAGAUAACCAUACUAAUAUCUACAACCAAACUUGUACUAUUUGGAUUCAUAGUCCUCAUAGAUAUUUCUCGUGAGCAAAGCCUUAGAACUUAGAUACCACAGAGAUAUUUCUAGAACCAGCAGUUUUGGCCGGCACCACAGCUCAAUAGGCUAAUCCUCCGCCUAGUGGCGCCGGCACACCGGGUUCUAGUCCUGGUCGGGGCGCCAGAUUCUGUCCCGGUUGCCCCUCUUCCAGGCCAGCUCUC